rnacentral:rRNA from 1 species
GAUGAACGCUGGCGGCGUGCCUAAUACGUGCAAGUCGAGCGAACGGACGAGACGCUUGCUUCUCUGAUGUUAGCGGCGGACGGGAGAGUAACACGUGUAUAACCUACCUAUAAGACUGGUAUAACUUCGGGAAACCGGAGCUAAUACCGGAUGAUAUUUUGAACCGCAGUGUUCAAAAGUAAAAGACGGUCUUGCUGUCACUUCUAGAUGGUUCCGCGCUGCAUUGGCUAGUUGGUAGGGUAACUGGUUACCAAGGCAACGAUGCAUAGCCGACCUGAGAGGGUGAUCGGCCGCACUGGAAGUGAGCCACGGUCAAGACUCCUGCGGGAGGCAGCAGUAGGGAAUCGUACGCAAUGGGCGAGAGCCUGACGGAGCAACGCCGAGUGAGUGAUGAAGGUCUUCGGAUCGUAAAACUCUGUUAUUAGGGAAGAACCUAUGUGUAAGUAACUGUGCACAUCUUGACGGUACCUAAUCAGAAAGCAACGGCUAACUACGUG